GCAAAAUGGAAAUGACACCUCGCUCUUGCUCUCAGGCGUGGUGUGAAAAUCAAGCGUGAUCGUCUUUAUGAAGUGCUCGGCACACGGGAGGGCCAGCAACUAUUCUCGGAGGGGCUUGGGCAUCUCUUUGGAAAUGGACCUCUUUAACUCUGCUGUGAUGCCAGGAGGUAGCCCAGCAUCCCAGACCCUGCCUUUCUCUGAGCUGCAUUCUUUCCUGGCUGCCUUGGACGUCUGACAUUGAAGCUGAUGUCACUCCGCGUCAAGUUGGGGCUGGAGGGUGCUUGGUAACUGGCAGUGGCCAAAGGUCUCCUCUCUUUCCUUCUCUGUAUAAAGUUACUUCUUUUCUGGGCAGGGGUUAAUUUGGUGGAAAUCAGGUGAAGACUUUGACGGUUGGGUGUGAGAGUGUUAAGCAUAAAGACGAAUGGCUCUAAGGUGCAUUCAAAGACCCUUGUGACCUCUAGAGUCAGAAGCACCUCUGGUUCCUCUGUUGCUUUGUUCGCACCAGUUUUAUCCAGAAGGUGGCAUCGCAGAGCCUGAUGUGCACUCCCCAAAGUCCAAAGGAUCCACAUUUCUUUGUGGUUAGACACUAACGUAUGUAGCCUUUACACAGCACGUUGACAUUUCAAAGACUUUUCAUUUAUCCCUAUACUUGGUUCAGUGACUUUCAAGCCGUGGGAGAUGGGGGUCAUUACGACUUCCUACCCAGUGAAAACCUGAGACCUGAGGUCCUUAGAAAACUCUGUGCCCCAACACACGUUCUUUCCCCGGGCGGUAGGUACAAAAGUGAACAAGAAUGGCUUGUUUGCGUGUCAAAAGCAGUUGUACAACUUAAUCACCGUGAUGCCUCCUCCUUCUUCCACACACACUUGUGCCUGCCCACUGCCCAUCAAAGUCAUGUUGGGUCAUUUCACUGGGGGGAGGGAUGGGGAAGACGUAGAUGAUUGUUUUAUGGGUAAGUCUUCUGAGUACCGGCACUUAACAAAAUAAGUCCCAAGGUUGACGCUUCCAAAAGGGUGACUGUUUAACUGGUGGCAUCUCAAACUCAGGACCCUGAGGGAAAGACAAGGUGACCCUCCCAAUUUAAGGUGGGGUCUGGCUUGGUGGCUCUUUCCCAGGAGUCCACUCUGGAGCCUGCCACAUCAGUUGCGUUAUGAGGCCUGUACUCAAUGAAUGUGUACUUCCCAGCGGGGAUGUUAAUGAGUUAUGAAUUCUUGGUGUGAAGUAUUUUGUGUCAAACCCUGUUAGCCCGACGUGGAUUUUCAUUCCUCUUAUGUGUGUCGGUGACAGAAAGGGAAUGGAAUCGAACACCUGAGGGUAAGGCCUUUGCACUUGUGCUGCCGAAGGAGCACGAGGUAAGGCCUUUGAAAUGGAGUGUAUUCGUUGUUACACUGGUUCCCUGUUACAGGCGCACGUUUCCACGGAUGAGUAUUAUUUCAUUGGAUACAUGUACCACAUUUUCCUUAUCCAUUUAUACUGUUGAUGGAUGCUCACAAGUCUCUCAUGUGUCACAUGUUGAAAACAAUACUGUAGUGAGUAUA